rnacentral:rRNA from 1 species
AGCGAACGCUGGCGGCAGGCCUAACACAUGCAAGUCGAGCGGCCGUAGCAAUACGGCAGCGGCAGACGGGAGAGUAACACGUGGGAACGCGCCCUUCGGUUCGGAAUAACUCAGGGAAACUUGGGCUAAUACCGGAUACGCCCUUACGAGGAAAGAUUUAUUGCCGAAGGAACGGCCCGCGUCCGAUUAGCUUGUUGGUGAGGUAACGGCUCACCAAGCCGACGAUCGGUAGCUGGUCUGAGAGGAUGACCAGCCUCACUGGGACUGAGACACGGCCCAGACUCCUACGGGAGGCAGCAGUGGGGAAUAUUGGACAAUGGGCGCAAGCCUGAUCCAGCCAUGCCGCGUGGGUGAUGAAGGCCCUAGGGUUGUAAAGCCCUUUCGGCGGGGAAGAUAAUGACGGUACCCGCAGAAGAAGCCCCGGCUAACUUCGUGCCAGCCGCCGCGGUAA